CAGUACUUGAGGAGGAGAGAUAAAAUUCUGUUAUACCAAAGGGACUCGGUAAAGGCGAAUGCAGUCUUCUAUGUAAAAACUGACGUUGAGGGACGAAGGCACAGAGAACAAAAAGGAUUAGAUACCCAAGUAGUCUUUGCAGUAAAUAAUGAAUGCCAUAGGUUAGAGUUAAAUCUAGUCUAUAAAUGAAAGUGUAAGCAUUU
rnacentral:ncRNA from 1 species